GGUGAGUAAUGCCUAGGAAUCUGCCUGGUAGUGGGGGACAACGUUUCGAAAGGAACGCUAAUACCGCAUACGUCCUACGGGAGAAAGCAGGGACCUUCGGGCCUUGCGCUAUCAGAUGAGCCUAGGUCGGAUUAGCUAGUUGGUGAGGUAAUGGCUCACCAAGGCGACGAUCCGUAACUGGUCUGAGAGGAUGAUCAGUCACACUGGAACUGAGACACGGUCCAGACUCCUACGGGAGGCAGCAGA
rnacentral:rRNA from 1 species